GUAUGGAUACGAAAGCCAUGCCGCUUUAAAAUCGUCCACUUUUCGGUACAAGCAUUAAAGCUCCCCGAAAAAGGAAGCAAUUACUCUUGAACGAUACGCUUGUACCGUUUUUAGCCGGUUGAAGUGUGUCCUGCAGUACCGCACCUCGGAGUCAUUAAUCGUGGUCCCAACAAUGUAGCUGUGAUGGAACUGCACCAUCAGAGGGGGGAAAGCGUGUCCUUAAUCGGGCACUCGCCAUCACACCACGGACACAAUCCAUUUCCAGAAAAUGGGGGAGCAUCUGCAACAUAAAAAAGAUCAUUAAAAUGUCUCAAAAUGGCUGAAAUUAUCUCACAUGACAGGCGAUAAAACAAAGCAUCAAGUGGCUAUGGGUAUUCGCUUUUCGGGAUGUUUUUUUUUGGUGGUGGUAAGAGAUUUCAAACUGAAGCUGUCGACGUUUAGUGCGAAAAUGGACAGUGAACAUUACUUCCCUCCAGGAAAAGUCUUGGGAAGAAAUGUUUUCGUUCUUUUUUUUUUUGGCAAGACAAUUUGACGUAAAAUUGAACAAUAGGAAAGUGUUUUAAAUAUCGCUAAAAGCUAUUUUGCAAAAUGCUGACAAUAUUCAUUAAAUGUCUUUCUUUCUCGAAAAAAAAUGUCACCAAAAAACCCAUGAAUGAUUAAACAGCGGAAAACGACAAACGGCAAAACUAAUUUUACCCGAACUGGUUCAUUUCAUUACCAUCUUUUGGCCACUUUGAAGGAUACGCUCUGUCGCUUUUUCGAUCUGGUUUUAAUCCAAUCAAAAUAAACAUUACCAAACCUUCAAUCGUACGGGCAGGAAGCGGCUGAGAAGUGAAUGCUCCAUUUCCCGUAUUCUUAUGCAAAACUGGAAGACAAAGCAAUUAGGCAUUCGUUGGUGCUUGUAAACAAAUUCCGCAGAACCAUCCGCACACAGAGUUUGGUGCCACUUUUGCUGAGCUUUCUUGCUCGUUCGGGAUGUUCCGCGUUUUGUUUUAAAUGUUCACGGUAGCAUGGGGAAGCGACCGAACGAACGAACGAACGAGAGUAAUUAAAAGUUCACCACCUUCGGGAAAGGCUGCUCGAAGGACCAUGUCAACGUUAGAUCCUAUAAAGCACUCAUAAUAAUGGCGUGGCCAGAGAGCAAUUACUGGUGCGAAAGCUGGUACUGUCCUGAAGCUUCCACGCGUCAAGGAAGCUAUCAACUCGCCUUGUUUCUAGUACGGGAGACAACGGAAGGAUCGCCAUCGUCGUCAUCGCCCCAUCACUAUCGGGGGCCGGCCAGCAUCUCAAGCAGCAGUUGAAAGCAUCGUGUAGAAAACACGAAGAAGCAAUAACAGUCCAUUGGUGAACUAAUUUAGUGAUUAUGCAAAUGAAUACUUCUCUCUCCAGGUCGAUGCGCUGUCUUGUCGGUUGCUUCCUCGGAAGGAUGAUAUCCGUCGGGCCGUCCGUAUGCCUUUAGCGUCCCCAAUGUCUUCGACUAGUCGACUAGUGACAGUUUGGGCCAACGCCUAGUGUCAGGGCUAAUUGAAGAAUAAUAGAUAGUUUCAAUAUCCGAUCCGGGACAGCACGCGCGCCAGAGCAAACGCUGCGGCAUCAUUUAUCACCAGCGGCACCGUGGGAUCCGGCUGGACGAAGAUGUGGUCGGUAGACACAGACACGACACGGUUUUCUCGAAUGGCAAUGAAGAAAUUUUAGUCAAGCACGAUGAGCACGUCACAUCUUCUGAUUCUCAAACAAGGAACCGAACCGUACCUUCCUCCGAUUCCGAACCCAUUGAACGUACAUUUGGUUCGACACUUUUGAAACGAUGAGGGUUAGUUACGAAUACGAAUAGGGGAACCUUUUUCCUUUCCCAUGUCCCAAUUUCUACUACUUUCGAAUGCUUCAUUCUUUUUACUGAACAAAAAAAACACACAAAAACACAAUUCCAUUCUUCUUGUUUUCAGUUUUGUGAUUUCACGAGUUUCUGCCGAAGAAAAAGUUUAUUCUUAUCAAAUUUCAAAGUAAACAAAUAAUAGAACCAUACAGAAGUAGUCGAAGAAGAAGGAGCAAAGAAUCAUCGGAUAAGAAAUUAGAUGUGGACUUGAUUUUCCCUGCUUUCCCGCUGGCGAAUGGGCAAAACCUGAAUAAGGGCAGUACGGUCAAGAAGGAUAAGUUUUGAAA